AACAGAACAAGGUUCGAACAGAUCAAAUCACUCGAAUCAAUUUUCGAGUCAGAGUCAAGGUUUGAGCCCACAAAGAAGUUGCAGCUCGCCGCGCAGCUGGGGUUGCACCCACGCCAGGUUUCAAUAUGGUUUCAGAACAAGCGAGACUACAGCGUUUUACUUGCUAAUUACAACACUCUGGCUUCCCGCUUUCAAGCUCUCAACAACGAUAACCAAGCGUUGGCUGCACAGAAUUGCAGAUAAAAUGCAACGCCCAUAAUCAGCAGGGGAACCAGAAUUUGCAGUAGUGUUAGCAAGGAUCCUGAAGAUUCAGCCGACGACGUCGUUGCUUUUACCGAUUGGGAUGCGGCUAGUCGAUAAUCGAUCGGCUUUGGGACCGUAGACAUGUCAACAUUGCCAAUGUAAUACUUUUCCAUUUGCUCUAUUGCAGAUAGACUGUGACCCACAUUUUCAAAAUCAUCUGUUGCAUCUUUCUCUGCAUAAACUCAACAUUGUUUUUCCAAUCAU